rnacentral:rRNA from 1 species
UACGUAGGGGGCAAGCGUUGUCCGGAUUUAUUGGGCGUAAAGAGCGUGUAGGCGGCCUGGGAGGUCCGUUGUGAAAACUCUAGGCUCAACCUCGAGACGCCGAUGGAAACCGCCUGGCUAGAGUCCGGAAGAGGAGAAUGGAAUUCCUGGUGUAGCGGUGAAAUGCGCAGAUAUCAGGAAGAACACCCGUGGCGAAGGCGGUUCUCUAGUACGGUACUGACGCUGAGACGCGAAAGCGUGGGGAGCGAACAGG